AUGGCCACCCUAGACAGAGUAUUUGUUUCUGUAGAUUGGGAUGGUAUUUUUCCUGGGGCCUCUUUAAAAGCCCUACCCAGAGUGGGGAGUGAUCAUACUCCUCUGGUUUUAAAUACUACUUCUGGGACCCCGAAUGCUACUUCUAAAUUCUUUAGAUUUGAAAAAUGGUGGCUUAAUAUUCCUGGGUUUGAUGAUGUUAUUCAUAAAGCCUGGAACACUAAGUGCAAAGCCACCAAAGCCAUUGAUAUCUGGCAAUUUAAGAUUAGGACCAACAGGAAAGCUCUGAAAGGCUGGUGUGCGAAUUAUGAAGCUGACCAGAACAGGAAUAAGCAAGCCUUGGUGGCUGAGUAUAAUUGCUUAGAUAUACUAGCUGAAUCUCAACCUUUAUCUCCUAACUCUAAAAACAAAAUGAAAAAAAAAUAA
rnacentral:rRNA from 1 species